rnacentral:lncRNA from 1 species
GGCGGGUUCGGCCUCGUUUCCCUCGUCGUCGAACCCCUCGAACCGGCGAUGAUACUGAGGAACCCAGCCCCAGUCGUUUUGGCGUUCGUCUGCCCACUGUCGCCGCGGCUCCUCGAUCUCCUCGUCGGCCAUGGUCGUACUAAGUGCUGUGGGAUAUAAACGAGGUUAUAUCCCUGGGCCUAUGGACAGACUAUGCUCUACAGGACAAUAGUCUGGUGCGAUAUUUGAAACUUGAAAAUACCCUAACGAAAUAUUACUACCGAUGUUAUACAAUGUCUUAUACUAAUCCGCCUUGUGGGCGGCCCCAAAUUUACUUGCUAGUCCUGGCUGGGCGUCUGUGUUGCGGUCGAGCGGGUGCUCGCCGUCUUCGCUGUCCUGCUGUUCCUCGUCGUCGUGUUGCUGGAAGGCCUUUAGGUCGGCUACCCCGGCGGUGCGCCGUUGUCCAGUCUCCGUGUGACGAACUCUGGCUAUGUUGGGUGAAUCGAAUUUGGUUACCUUAUACGGCCCCUCGUACCGUGGGGCUAACUUGGCGGUGAACCCGUCGUUGGCUUUCGAUAGCACGUGUUGCUUCACUAGCACCAAGCUGCCAAUGGUUGGUCUCCAAUCGCGUCGUCGUAGGUUGUAGUGGCGGCCCUGUUCCGCCGAUGCUCGCUGUGUGUUGUCCCUUGCCGCCUGGAAAACCUCGUACAGCUGUUUCGCCCUGGUUUCGGGAUCGGUAGCGACUAUUCCGGAUUCUGGCGUGACUUCCUCGUACAAUGCUCCUGGUAGUCUCGGCUCUCGUCCUUGGACCAGGAACGCCGGACUGAAUCCUGUUGUGUCGGACACGCUGCUAUUGAUUGCCAAUGCAAUCUCCGGUAGCAGGGUGUCCCAUGUACUAUGCGGUCCCUCGAUGUACUGUGCGAUCAUGGUCUUGAUUGUCCGGUUAGCUCUCUCCGUCGGGUUUUGCUGUGGAUUGUUCGGCGGUUGUAUACUCCAGUGUCAUACCUGCCCGCUUACAAA